rnacentral:lncRNA from 1 species
GGAAGGACACAAGUUACACUAUGCUAUUAUUGCACACGAAUUUUCUCCUCUCCUGUCAUUCCUCUGCUCCAUCCAGGGCCUGUGUUUGAGUCAAAAGUUUAGACUCUAACUUCGGAUUGAAGUUUUUCUCCUUAUUUAACUGUUGUAAAUGGAUGCGGUGAGAAUUAGUUAGAUGAAGUCUGCAAGACAGAGCCUGCUCUUGGAGAAAUAUGAUAUGUUCAUAUCGGACUUCACAGAACACUGUUUCCACAGAAGAGUGGAGGCACUGGGAAGGUUCCUGAUGCCAUCCAGGGACACCACUGACCUGGCACCAGCUCCCUGCGGUGGGCGCAGAAUGACAGCAGAAAGGCCAUGGCUGGACCUGGGAUGCCAAGUGUAGCUAGUCCAGCAAGCCCUCCAAAAAGGUUUCCAGUAGGACCCUUUAUCUCCAGAACAGAUUAAGCUUUACUUCAAAGCAUGACAAUUCUAGCCAAGCUUUUCUCAAUAAAGCCAUCAAAGCCGGCAGAAGAAAUCCUAUUCUCUCGAUGCCGUGGGAAAUGUGAUUCUCAGUAUGGUGAGGUGGGAGGAAGUAGU